rnacentral:lncRNA from 1 species
UGUCCCCCUAUUCAGUUUGCCUCAUUUUUUUCUUUUUCAUAAAGAAUCAAAAUGCCUCAUUUAGUUUUUUCUUUUCCUCUUGUGAAAGUUACAGAAAAUGUUUUUUAAAGGAGUGCAGUGUUUCUGGCCUCCUCAUCACCUAGCAAGGCAGCCUCUUAAACAGGACUCUCUUCUAGUCUAUAGCCAGGCACUGUUAAGUGCUUCUUGGAUAGAGAUAAGGAAUAAACUUAUUCUACCAUCAUGAGUCCUAAUUAGCAGAGCCUACAUUGCUUCCUUUUACCCAUGCCUCCAGCUUAUGUAUCCUUUGCUUCACAUGAUCUCUUGUCUAGAAGAGUUCAGGCCCUAGGUUCUGAGAGAACUGUGUAUAUAAAUUUGGGUAGUAGCUACAA